CAUUGGAAAAGCAACUCAGGUUUAGUAAGACGUUCCACCCUCAGACAGAUGGGUAGAUAAAGAGGCUUAAUCAGACCUACAAUAGUAGUUAUCAAGCGAAUAUUUAGAUGACACCAUUCGAAACUCAGGUUUAGUACGACAUUCCACCCUCAGACAGGUUGACAAGAAAUAGCUUAUCGGGCCGAAGUUGGUACAAACUACUAAUGUGGUAGUACAAAAAAUCAGACAGAGGAUACUCUUUGCACAAAGUCGACAAAAAAGUUAUGCAAACUCUUAGGAAAGACCUCGAGUUUGUAGUGGGUGAUCACGUCUUUUUGAAAGUAGCCCCCAUGAAAGGAGUGCUGAGGUUUGGGAAGAAGGGCAAGCUAAUCCCGAGGUUUGUGAAAUCCUAAAAAGGGUAGAGCCCAUGGCUAUAGACUAACAUUACCACCCACCUUCGCUGCGGUGCACAAUGUAUUCCAUGCAUUGAUUUUGAGGAAGUACACUCCAGAUCCCACUCACAUCAUUGAUCAUGAAAUACUUCCUCUCUGAAAGAACCUAUUGUACGAAGAAAACCCAUCAGAAUAAUGGCCCGUGACGUGAGGAAACUACAUAGAAGGGAGAUUUCCUUAGUCAAAGUCAUAUAGAAAAAUCAUCGGGACAAUGAAGCCACCUGGGAACGUGAAGAUGACAUGAGGAGGUCUUACCCUGAACUCUUUCAAGGAGGAUCAACUUUCGGGGAUAAAAGUUCCUUAGAAGGGGAGAAUUGUAACACCCGAGCUUAGGAGGCCGAGGAGACCCAAGCUCGAGUCGAUGAAGAAGGAGAACAAAGAAAUCAAUCGCCUCAAAUUCACCAUUGGAGAUUGAAUCCAAAGUAAGAAAUUUUCAAUCAAGACUCCUCUCGGUCCUGGAGGAAUGGUUUGGGUGGUGGAAUCGUCAAUUUCGGAAAGAAAUUCGAGAAUGAACAAGAUACAGAGGUGAAGGUGGGAACUUCAAUUCCAUUAACUUGUAUUGAAGUUUGCGGAAACGACAGCGACGCUGAAAAUGAUAAAUGCAUACAGUUAUGUUCUAGAAGAGGAUUUCAACAUGGAGUAUGUAUUCCAAACCCAACAAACAUAAUUUGUUGUUGUGACCCUUAAUUUUGGUUCAACUUUAAUUCCUUUCUUUGCAAAAGAUAUGAAAUUAUCAAUAAAAUUAUAAACUUAUCUUUC